rnacentral:rRNA from 1 species
GGGAGGCAGCAGUGGGGAAUCUUCCGCAAUGGACGAAAGUCUGACGGAGCAACGCCGCGUGAGUGAAGAAGGCCUUCGGGUUGUAAAGCUCUGUUAUUCAGGAAGAAUGUUCUCUAUGUGAACAAUGUAGAGAAGUGACGGUACUGAAGGAGGAAGCCACGGCUAACUACGUGCCAGCAGCCGCGGUAAUACGUAGGUGGCGAGCGUUGUCCGGAAUUAUUUGGCGUAAAGAGCGUGUAGGAGGGGUAUUAAGUCUUUUGUAAAAGUGCGGGGCUCACCCCCGUAAUGCGGGAGAAACUAAUACUCUUGAGUGCCGGAGAGGAAAGCGGAAUUCCCAGUGUAGCGGUGAAAUGCGUAGAUAUUGGGAGGAACACCAGUGGCGAAGGCGGCUUUCUGGACGGUGUCUGACACUGAGGCGCGAAAGCCAGGGGAGCGAACGGGAUUAGAAACCCCUGUAGUCCC